GUUAGCAUCAGCGUGCGGCUGCCAGUCCAUCUGGGGGUCUAAUUGUUGCCUUCUCCGCCGUCGUCGUCUUGCUGAUCGCUUGUCCAGAGCGUUAGGUUGUCGCGGAGGAGCUGCAUGAUGAGCGUUGAGUCCUUGUAGGAGUCCUCGUUGAGGGUGUCCAGCUCGGCGAUGGCGUCGUCGAACGCCGUCUUGGCCAGGUGGCAGGCCUGCUCCGGGGCGUUCUGGAUCUCGUAGUAGAAAACGGAGUAGUUGAGCGCCAGGCCGAGCCGGAUGGGGUGGGUCGGCUGCAUGUGCUCCUUGCUGAUCUCGUGGGCCUCGCUGUAGGCCUUCUCCGAAGACUCCACCACGGUCGCCCUCUUCUCGCCGGUGGCCACCUCGGCCAGGUAGCGGUAAUAGUCCCCUUUCAUCUUCAGGUAGAAGACUUUGCUCUCGUACUGCGUCUCGCUGCAGUUCUUGAUCAGGUAGUUGUCCAGCAGGCUCAGCACGUCCUGGCACACGGCUUCCAACUCCUUCUCGAUUUUCUCACGGUAGGCCCGUACCAUCUCGAUCUUCUUCUCAUUGCCAUCAGCUGAGGUCUUCUGCUCGAUGCUGCUGAUGACACGCCAGGAUGAGCGCCGUGCCCCCACAACGUUCUUGUAGGCGACGGAGAGAAGGUUCCUCUCUUCGUUGGACAGAGGCUCGUUCAGUUCUGUCACGUUCUUCAUGGCGGCCGCCAUGUCGUCGUAGCGCUCGGCUUGCUCGGCCAGCCGGGCCUUCUGCACCAGCUGCUCGCGGUCCACCAUCUUCGCGGGGCCGGGAGGGGAAAGGGCGCGGAGGCUGCGGGCUGCGGGAGGAGGAGGAGGAAAGAGGAGAAGGAGGAGGAGGAAAGAGGAGGAGGAGGCGGCGGCUCCUGGCGCUGCUGCGGCG
rnacentral:lncRNA from 1 species